GUCUUAUUCGUCCGCUCAGUGGUAACGCGUCGCACUUGUACGCGGUCCUUUCACUGGAUCAAUCCAUCAAUGCGAAGAUCCCUAGUUCAAUUCUGGGUGAAGGCA